AUACGUAGGGGGCAAGCGUUGUCCGGAAUUAUUGGGCGUAAAGGAUGCGUAGGUGGAUAUUUAAGUGGGAUGUGAAAUCCCCGGGCUCAACCCGGGAACUGCAUUCCAUACUGGAUAUCUAGAGUGCAGGAGAGGAAAGCGGAAUUCCUAGUGUAGCGGUGAAAUGCGUAGAUAUCACGCAGAACGCCAAUUGCGAAGGCAGCUGGCCGGGCCGCAAUCGACGCUGAGGCACGAAAGCGUGGGGAUC
rnacentral:rRNA from 1 species